rnacentral:rRNA from 1 species
ACGCUGGCGGCGUGCUUAGCACAUGCAAGUCGAACGGGGUUAUUUCAGAAGCUACGAAUAGUUUACUAUGAAGAGUGGAAGGAAUAACUCAGUGGCGGACGGGUGAGUAACGCGUGAGGACCUGUCCAUUGCAGGGGGACAACAGUUGGAAACGGCUGCUAAUACCGCAUAGGCCCGUGAGGGUGAAAGGAUGGUAACAUCCGGCAAUGGAGGGACUCGCGUCCUAUCAGCUAGUAGGUGAAGGUAAAGGCUCACCUAGCGAUGACGGGUAGCCGGCCUGAGAGGGCGCACGGCACACUGGGACUGAGAUACGGCCCAGACUCCUACGGGAGGCAGCAGUGGGGAAUAUUGGGCAAUGGGCGCAAGCCUGACCCAGCGACGCCGCGUGGAUGAAGAAGUCUUUCGGGACGUAAAAUCCUUUUGUACGGGAAGAAGGACGUGACGGUACCGUACGAAUAAGCCCCGGGACGUACAGCUCU